ACACCUUAACUGUUACGUUUCAUACCUUCUGAUGCUGUCUUAGGAUGUGUGUUUAAUAAUAACAAUAAUAAAAAAAACAAACAAAAAACCACAAUAUAUCUACAGUAAAUCAUAAUACACCUACAGUAAAUUACAGCUGAUCUUGUGAUUGUUUAAUGUGAACUUUACCUGCUGCAUCUAGAUAUAUGGCUUAGUGUUGGGGGAGUGAUAUAGAGUCGUUCUGUCAGUUCUACUUAAACUAACCUCAUUACUCCUGAUUUUUCCCUGAGGCUAUUUCUACCCCAUUUUGUACAACUAGAGCAACGUGAAGGGACCGAAGUUUUGCCUAGAGUUGAGUCUAAGGCAUGGACUACUAAUUUUCCUCUUCUUUUGGUGUCUAAAUAGCUGGCUUUCCUUGUUUGAAGGUACAUUUUGUUAUUAAAGCCUGAGAAGGUAUGCUCUAGGUGUUUCUUUCAUGUUUUUAAAUCUGUUGUGAUUGAGCAAUAUUUUCCUUGUAAUGUUGUUAUUUAAUUUUUAGAUGGAAAUUAAAUACAGGAAAUGAUCAGCAAACAAAAUGAGCGUCAAAAGCAGAAGUCGCUAUGAAAACUGUUUUGCCUUUACUGAAGCAGCCCAUAACCCUAGUGUUAGAAUACCUAUUUCAUACAUGGAAAGCUGUCACUGUUUCAUGAGCUAUAGAAUGCCUCAUGAUUAACAUAGUAUUCCUGUUUACCACGCUGUUUAUUAUCCAGAAAAAACUGUUCUUAAAUGCCAUUUAACUGACUUCCAAAGAACUCAGUUAUUUAAUACACACUUGAUUUCAGAUUGAUGUUAAACUGAUCAUAAUAUCUUGUUUAUUUCCCUACAUGUAAAGCAGCAGCAAAACAUGUUCUCUCUAAAAUUCACGCAAAUCUCUAGCAGCAUGUUAGCAAUGAAAAGCUUAUGGAGAGCAGUCUACAGUAAUACCAUUCACAGAUAAGAACCUCCUUAGACAUGGCUUCCUAUUUCAAAUAACAUUGAAAUGCAGCCGGUUUUAAGUGUAAAAUGAGGUAAUAUUUCUAAAGCUCACUGCUGGAAUAAUUACAUGUGGAAGCAGAUAUUUGAUGAGCGCUCUUUACAUACACCACAGCUAUAGCUUAACUCUUGAAACUGAACACAUUUAGUAAGUAGUAUCUUCACAAAUCACAUCUUUGGUAUAUUGAUUUGGAUACUAAAAAUGAACAGAUCUGAAACGAAUGACCACUUGUGUUCCCGCAUUCUGGCACAAUUCUAGCUGCAUUUGAUGCAUUUCCAUUUCCACUCGGUUACUAGUUUAGGAACCUGGGCAGAUUUAUCACUCUUGGAAGUACAUUUCAGCUUCUUGCCUCAUCAGCAGCAAGAUAUGAGACACUGACAUAUGCUAUUUUAAAUAACAGCUGCUCAUUGCUGGUCAAAUUUUUCCCAAUAAUGACGAUAUAUUUUACUGAAAUAACGAUGCUACUGUUAUAAUGUUAGAAAUUUUAUUCAGAAGUGCAGUUAUCAACCACUGUGUGAAUGAAGAAGCUGCUUUUAAGACUCGGGACUCAGUUAUGAGAUCUCCUUAGUUCUACCUGUUUCAGAUGCUCUGCAUUCACUGGUUACCUAUGUGUGGCUGCAUGGCUCCCAGGCGGAUGGACAGAAGAUGAGCGAUGUUUGUGGCACAGCUAACUGCUGUUGCUUGAGAAAGCGUGGCUCUUGACAUCUGUAGUGAUCAAAGUUGGGAAGCCAAACUGGGAACAUGGGUUGCUGCACUCAAAGUGUAUGGGCCUAUUUCUAUGGACUUUUUUCCACUUGGAAGUAUCUCUGUGGAAGUUGCACCCUGGAGAUGUUUCAGUUCCCUCCCACCACACUGGCAAGCUCUGCAAACAUUCGUACAGGCAAAUACAAACCUCACUGCUUGCCAAAGGAUGCCCACCUCUGGGAAACCCAUGAUUCAUUCACUGCCUGACCCUUACUUUGUGCUCCACUACACCAACGUGAGUGAGGCCUGUUCCUCCCCACCCAGCUUGGCUCAUCUCAUUAACAUUAACUCAGGGGACAAUUAAACCGUGUUGAGGUCCUGCUGGCCUCCACAGGCAUUGCUUUGGGUAGGUUGUGAUACCACCACAGCCUGCCUUCAGCCUCCUGACAGCCUACUGAAGCAGGCCCUUACUGCCCAUCUCCAAAGGUCCCUCCAUGCAGUGACUGCAUGAAGCACUGCCCUCCAAGAACUGAGUGGAUGCAGUCAGACUGUUAGUAAACAUCAACAGCAACAAAGUGUUUAAGAUAACUUUACAAAUUUAUCAGCAGAGAGAUCAUAUCCACGUUGAUAACAACAAUGUGACACAGUUUGUGAUUGAGAUGGAGGGACUAAACCUCUGUCCUGACAAAUUACACCGUGAGAUGCAUUACCUUGUUUCGAAGCAUUAUUUCUCUGUGGUUUCCAAAAAAACCACGUUUGCUAUUUCUAAAAAUAAACAAGCUACCAGUAAGG
rnacentral:lncRNA from 7 species